UUUUAGUCGAAAAAGAUGUUAAAGAUGCUUAAAACCUGUUAUAUAAAUAUGUAUUAUUAUCUAUUUUUUUAUGUUACACACCCAAAUAUCCGAAGUUUAUGGUGCGUUGAGGUCUCGGUAAACAGAUAUAUUAUUUUCUUUCCAGGACACGCGUUUAACCUGUGACCUGUCCACUUUGACCAUAGCCCAGUGAUUAGCGAAAAUUAUCCAGUUAACCACUUACAAAGGCCGUGCAUCCACCAACGGUCCAAGUACGUCUAUCUUGGACAUAUAAUUUGCGUUUAUCGGAGAGGACCUUGUCUGCUCACGACGAGAAGGUUGCAGAAAAGAGAGGUGUCCCUGAAAAUGGUAUGACAUCGAAUCUGGCUUCAGACUACCUACCGAGAGUAGUAGGACCCACCUACUACUACUACUACUACUACUACUACUACUACUACUACUGAGUGGAUUUUAGACUGCUACACUACCACGAGUUACGCCGGAAGUACCACGAAUUAUAAACUCAUAUGAAAAGAGCUGAAUUACGAUGUUGUUGUCAUAGUAAGAGUACGACUCACAAACCUGCUAGCUGUUGUGCAAAGAGCAGUUUGACGUAUUCCGGGAUUGUCUUCAGAUAGUAGCGUUGUCACGAAUUUCGAUAUAACAUUAUUACCACACAAACAAACCCCCCAAAAACCAUUGUAGAUAACGGCAUUAACACGAACCGCCUAGAGAAGCCAUUAUUACCACAUGUCACGAAAGCUUCUAUUAUUAUUACCACGAGUCACGAAAGCCUGUAUUAUUAUUACCACGAGUCACGAAAGCCUGUAUUAAUAUUACCAAAAGUGACGAAAGCCUGUAUUAAUGUUACCACGAGUCAAAAAAGUUUAUAUUAAUAUUACCACAAGUGACGAAAGCCUGUAUUAAUAUUACCACUAGUCACGAAAGCCUGUAUUAAUAUUACCACGAGUCACGAAAGCCUGUAUUAAUAUUACCACGAGUCACGAAAGCCUGUAUUAAUAUUGCCAAAAGUGACGAAAGCCUGUAUUAAUGUUACCACGAGUCAAAAAAGUUUAUAUUAAUAUUACCACAAGUGACGAAAGCCUGUAUUAAUAUUACCACUAGUCACGAAAGCCUGUAUUAAUAUUACCACUAGUCACGAAAGCCUGUAUUAAUAUUACCAAAAGUGACGAAAGCCUGUAUUUAUAUUACCACUAGUCACGAAAGCCUGUAUUAAUAUUACCACUAGUCACGAAAGCCUGUAUUAAUAUUACCACGAGUCACGAAAGCCUGUAUUAAUAUUACCAAAAGUGACGAAAGCCUGUAUUAAUGUUACCACGAGUCAAAAAAGUUUAUAUUAAUAUUACCACAAGUGACGAAAGCCUGUAUUAAUAUUACCACUAGUCACGAAAGCCUGUAUUAAUAUUACCACUAGUCACGAAAGCCUGUAUUAAUAUUACCACUAGUCACGAAAGCCUGUAUUAAUAUUACCAAAAGUGACGAAAGCCUGUAUUAAUGUUACCACGAGUCAAAAAAGUUUAUAUUAAUAUUACCACAAGUGACGAAAGCCUGUAUUAAUAUUACCACGAGUCAAGAACGCCUGUAUUAAUAUUACCACAAGUGACGAAGCCUGUAUUAAUAUUACCACGAGUCAAGAAAGCCUGUAUUAAUAUUACCACAAGUGACGAAAGCCUGUAUUAAUAUUACCAUGAGUCAAGGACGCCUGUAUUAAUAUUACCACAAGUGACGAAAGCCUGUAUUAAUAUUACCACGAGUCAAAAAAGCCUGUAUUAAUAUUACCACAAGUGACAAAAACCUGUAUUAAUAUUACCACGAGUCACGAAAGCCCGUAUUAAUAUUACCACAAGUGAUGAAAGCCUGUAUUAAUAUCACCACGAGUCACGAAAGCCUGUAUUAAUAUCACCACGAGUCACGAAAGCCUGUAUUAAUAUUACGAGUCACGAAAGUUUGUAGUAAUAUUACCACAAGUCACAAAAGCCUGUAGUAAUAUCACAACGAGUCACGAAAGCUUGUAUUAAUAUUACAAUGAGUCACCAAAGAUUGUGAUAAUAUUACCACCAAUCACGAACUUCUCUACAAGUAACAUUUCUAUUGAUCACGAACUACAGUUAAACAUUACGACAAAAGAUUAACUUUGACAGCGAGUCAUGAAUAAGUUAGAGAUAACUUUAUAUAACGAAUUAGUUAUAGACGAAUCAGGAAUAAGUUACAUAUAACUUUAUACCACGAAUCACGAACUAGAGAUAACUUUUCCCCGAAUUACAAUCUCCUGUAAACAAAACAAACAGCAUUCCACGAAUUAUGGAAUAAUAUUACCUCAACUUUAAGUCAUUUAUACUGAACGCGAUUAAUCUCGAAAGGUGGUAGUAGGUUGUAUAACUCAUCUCACAUGAUUUCUUUAUGCACGUUGAUAUGUCUUAACAUACCCACACGUGAAAAACACAUCGUAUGACGUAUAAUUGUAUUGACACUGCGUUAUUUUAAUUGACAAGAACACGCUCUCGUGAGUCAACUCGAAUAACAAUCUUGCUUAACACAAAUAGCCUAUCUACUUAACACAAAUAGCCUAUCUACUUAACACAAAUAGCCUAUCUACUUAACUCGAAUAACCUUUUUGUUUAACUCGAAAAACCUGUGUAUUUGCAUUGAAUAACAUAUCUGUAUAACUUGAAUAACAUAUCUGUAUAACUUGAAUAAAUAACAUAUCUGUAUAACUUGAAUAACAUAUCUGUAUAACGUGAAUAACAUAUCUGUAUAACUUGAAUAAAUAACAUAUCUGUAUAACUUCAAUAACAUAUCUGUAUAACUUGAAUAAAUAACAUAUCUGUAUAACUUGAAUAACAUAUCUGUAUAACUUGAAUAACAUAUCUGUAUAACGUGAAUAACAUAUCUGUAUAACUUGAAUAAAUAACAUAUCUGUAUAACUUCAAUAACAUAUCUGUAUAACUUGAAUAAAUAACAUAUCUGUAUAACUUGAAUAACAUAUCUGUAUAACUUGAAUAACAUAUCUGUAUAACUUGAAUAAAUAACAUAUCUGUAAAACUUGAAUAAAUAGCAUAUCUGUAUAACUUGAAUAAAUAAAAUAUCUACUUGACACAUAACUGGAGUAAUCUAUCUGCGCUACAGGAAUAGUUUGCAAUAUGGGUCUGCAUAACAUAACCUUGCUUGAGUAAAAUCUGAAACUCGACCAUUAACAUUUUCAAAAUCGAUUCUCUACACAAGCCGAGUCAAAAGGAUGUUUUGAAAAAAACCCACUGGAUAAAGUGCCCUGAGCCUUCGCACUAGUUGAAUUGUCUUGUACAGUUUUACUAUUCGUGUUAGUACGUGUAACAAAUCUUUAUAUAGACUAUAGCCUAUUGUACGACUUACAUUAAAUGUCCAUUACUUUCUUUGUAUUAACUCAUAAGACACACCUGCUCGUGCGCAGUACGCCACAUAGUACGACAUGAGACUCUCGGCAAUGAAAACUGCUCUCUUUUUGUUUUACCUCUGUCUACUAAUAUUUGCCGGGCUUCAGAUUUACGUGGCCUUUGCAUAUUAUGGAAAUAAUAAAAAAAAAAUGUUUUGGAAUCUCGACAGGAAUAAACCUCACAGGCACAUCCAAAUUGACGACUAUGCCAACAACAUUGCUUCAGAAAAUGCGUCUAGACGUCCUCAGUAUGGCUAUGUAACGAAACGUGGUGGAACUAAUAUUCAAGAAGCGACACAAAGUCGCACUGGCGUGCCUUUUAUUCCAAACUGGAAAGACGUGGAGUCAUUUCGCCGGGAUGUAGAGUUCCUCAACCAUCAAGGCUUCAUCCACAAUGAGGUGAAAUUCAAACCGAGGCUGACGGCUGAAAGUAUUGUUAUUCUGGUUCAGGUUCACAGUCGAGCUGACCAGCUGCAGAUGCAGAUAGACUCCUUUAGCAGAAUGAGGUACAUCAACGAAACGUUGAUCAUCUUCAGCCACGAUUUCUAUUCUCAGAAUGUGUUUGAUGUCAUAGCCAAGAUAGAUUUCUGUCCAUAUGUUCAGAUAUUUUACCCGUAUGCUAUUCAGGUGUAUAACAACCAAUUCCCAGGAGAUGACCCUAAAGACUGUCCGAGGAAUUUGGUAAAGGACGAGGCCCGGAAACGGAAGUGUAACAACGCCGAGUAUCAAGAUCCUUACGGACAUUACCGAGAAGCCCCGCAUGCGCAGUUGAAGCAUCACUGGUUGUGGAAGAUGCAGUUCAUUUUCGAGAACUGCUCCUUGCUGCGAAAUUUCGAAGGGAUAAUAUUUCGUCUGGAUGAUGAUUACUACUUGGCAGAGGACACGAUGGACUACAUCAGGAAACUGGAUCGUCAGAGUCGGAUUCAGUGUCCUGAGUGUAAAAUGUACAUCAUGGGUCAGUCCACUGUUUAUUCACACGACGAAUACAAGUCUGGUGCAGCCAAGAAAGAUUACUGGUGGGCAGGAAACGGAAGAGGUAUGGCCUUCAGGAAAGACUUCUGGAAGCUGUUCAAAGAUUGUGCGAAAUCAUUUUGCCUGUUCGACGAUUGUAACUGGGACUGGUCGCUAAUGCACGUGACCGCCAAGUGCAUCCCAGGUGGUCUGAAAAUCUUAAAACCUCUAGGUAGUAGAGUCUUCCAUUUGGGAAGAUGUAAGGGCUUCCAUCAAAAUAGAAGCUGCAAAACGACUGAUGUUCUGAAUUAUGUGCUGGGUAUUUUAAGACGCAACAGAAAUUAUCUCUUUCCUGAAAAUGUGAAUAUUCCUAUCGGUUUUCCUUCUAGAUCUAAGCUGGAUGUACCGAAUGGAGGGUGGACUGAUAUCAGAGAUCAUGAAAUGUGCCUUAGGAUUUUCAAUAACGAGUCCUUGUCGACUACAGACUUUAGAAAAAUACACCAGAAGCUGUUUAAUUGAUACCAUUGCUAGUGUACAUGUAUUUAGAAAACUAAUAUUCAGAACAUUGGAAAGAAAGAAAGAAAAAAACACCAGCAUCAACAGCAAAACCCACAAACAAAAACCCACGUCCUCCCACCCACACCUCCUACCACUUCUCACCAAUGCAUACUGAAAGCAAGAUACCAAAAACUGUUUAAAAUGUGACUGUGUGAUAAACCUAUAACAGACUUUAGAUUUAAAUGAAAUUAUGUAACAACGAAAAUCCGGCUACUGCUACAGAGAAUACAUUUUCACGAAAAUUACCUCGAAAUCAUUUGCAGAAAAACAACAACCCAAGAAGGUGCCUUCGAAUGUCCAGAGCACUAAAACGAAAUACAAAGUCAUUUGGAGGAAGCAACAUUACAACGAAUUAAGAAAGCAUUUGAAGAUUAUAGCAUUAUCAGGGAUUAAUAAAUUAGUUCAAGAUUGCAGCAUAAUCACCAAUUUAAAACUACAUUGUUCAGAUAAUAAAAUUACAAACAUUUCGAAACCGUAUAUGAUUUAGAUAAUAUGUAAAAUUACAAAAAAAAACAAACACAAAACGAUUCUGAAUACGUUUAGAGAUAAUUUAUUUUGUAAACUGAAUAUUUUUGCUCAAUAACUGACGCGAAAAACACAUAGUAACAAAAAUAAUUAUCCCCCUCCUCCUCCCAA
rnacentral:misc_RNA from 1 species